rnacentral:tRNA from 1 species
GGUCCCAUAGCUCAGCAGGAUAGAGCACCAGAUUCCUAAUCUGGGGGCCGUUGGUUCGAAUCCAACUGGGAUCA